rnacentral:rRNA from 1 species
AUUGAACACUGGCGGCAGGCCUAACACAUGCAAGUCGAGCGGAUGAAGGGAGCUUGCUCCUGGAUUCAGCGGCGGACGGGUGAGUAAUGCCUAGGAAUCUGCCUGGUAGUGGGGGAUAACGUCCGGAAACGGGCGCUAAUACCGCAUACGUCCUGAGGGAGAAAGUGGGGGAUCUUCGGAUCUCACGCUAUCAGAUGAGCCUAGGUCGGAUUAGCUAGUUGGUGGGGUAAAGGCCUACCAAGGCGACGAUCCGUAACUGGUCUGAGAGGAUGAUCAGACACACUGGAACUGAGACACGGUCCAGACUCCUACGGGAGGCAGCAGUGGGGAAUAUUGGACAAUGGGCGAAAGCCUGAUCCAGCCAUGCCGCGUGUGUGAAGAAGGUCUUCGGAUUGUAAAGCACUUUAAGUUGGGAGGAAGGGCAGUAAGUUAAUACCUUGCUGUUUUGACGUUACCAACAGAAUAAGCACCGGCUAACUUCGUG